AACACCACCGUGGCUGCUCAAUCCGCUCCAGACGGUGGCAGAGCUUAAGACUUUGGCAGAGCUAAUAGAAUGCCAAGGAAGCCCUGCAGGGAAGACCGGAGCGAUAAAACGGACGCCCGCGACGAGACAAAGCCAGGCGAACGAGACAAUUUAUAUGGUCGGCUGGUCCUCACUAUGACGCGCAAAACGCACCAGCCCUGGCCCGUGUCACCCACCAUCUUUACAAGAAGAUACAAGUACAUACUGUACAAGCGACGGACUGAUGCGUAUGCCAUACUUGGCAAACGGCUGUAAAUGUACAGCGCUACGGCCGCGAACGGCUUGCAGGAUGCACACGCUGGCGUGCAAACAAUUUGAUGCAUGUUUUUUUGUGAACAGUGUCAUUGGGCUUUGUUGGCAUUUUCCCUGUCUCCAUUCACUCGGGACAUGAUUUGUAGUACCAGACUACAGUUGAAUCCCUUCCAGAUGUAUUUUUGGCACCAGGAUAACCAGAACAUCCAACGUUGGUUCAAGUUUGAACUAGAUGACGGGGCAGAAGAUGAACCAACCAAGUGUAAAAGGUUACAAGUGAUGGUAAACAAGAUUCAAUAAUGCAAAGCUCCAAAGCAACUCGCUGCUAAAGGUCUAAAACAUCUUUAUGAACGCAAAUACACAACCGCACAUGCAAAGUCCAUUGUGAAGACUCUAUUUCGAAGACGAGUCAAGUUCAAGCAAACCAUCAGAACAUCACACGAUAGUAACAACCUUUG